UACAGAGGGGGCAAGCGUUAUUCGGAAUUAUUGGGCGUAAAGGGCGCGUAGGCGGCUUGGCAAGUGGAUGGUGAAAUCCCUCGGCUUAACCGAGGAACUGCCGUCCAAACUGCUUCGCUUGAGACCGGGAGAGGUGAGUGGAAUUCCCAGUGUAGCGGUGAAAUGCGUAGAUAUCUGGAGGAACACCGGUGGCGAAGGCGGCAUCCUGGACCGGUAUUGACGCUGAGGCGCGAAAGCUAGGGGAGCAAACGGG
rnacentral:rRNA from 1 species